AUGAACGCUAGCGGCAGGCUUAACACAUGCAAGUCGAGGGGCAGCACGGGUAGCAAUACCUGGUGGCGACCGGCGCAAGGGUGCGUAACGCGUGAGCAACAUGCCCUAUACAGGGGGAUAAUCCAGGGAAACUUGGUCUAAUAUCCCAUAGUAUUUAGAGGAGGCAUCUUCUAUAAAUUAAAGCUUCGGUGGUAUAGGAUUGGCUCGCGUGACAUUAGCUAGAUGGUGAGGUAACGGCUCACCAUGGCAAUGAUGUCUAGGGGUUCUGAGAGGAAGGUCCCCCACACUGGAACUGAGACACGGUCCAGACUCCUACGGGAGGCAGCAGUGAGGAAUAUUGGACAAUGGUCGGAAGACUGAUCCAGCCAUGCCGCGUGAAGGUUACUGUCCUAUGGAUAUUAAACUUCUUUUUUACGGGAGCAAUAAGGUGCACGCGUGCAUCGAUGAGAGUACCGUACGAAUAAGCAUCGGCUAACUCCGUG
rnacentral:rRNA from 1 species